AUCGUGCAUCUCGAUCAAGUGUCGGCUGUGCAAUAAGCAACUUUCCUUCGCCUGGGAAUAUAGUUCGCAGGAAGUUACAAUAAUCUUGGACCACCUGGGAUAUCAGACUAAUUUGCUUAGUGGUCUGCAAUAUUUAUCCUUUCCGCUCGCUACUUCGUGGCAUUAAAGAUCACGAUAUAGUAUAGGAGUACAAGAUGAAACAACCACAAAUUGCAGUCUUGAGUUAUACCAGCGAAGCGUUAACACUCCAAAGUUCGCGCAUGCCGACUGUCACAAUUACUCGUGCAUGAAACAAACACAUCGUCGGUUGCGUGGUUCACCAUUGAUUGCAUAGCUCCGCCGAUCUAACCAGCAGCAGCGGCAGCAGCUGCAGCUCGACCGCGAGUCCGACUCGAACACAUACUUGAAACUAUCAGCUCGACUGUCAAACUGGAAUCGAUAAUGUAGUCGGCCACAAUGGGUGUCCGCCUCUUCUGGAGCAACUCUUGCAUACGAGCGCAGAGAUGGAUCCGUAACUUUCCAGGGAGAAUCGAAGAACUCGUGCACAGGAGAGGCUUAUGCUCCGCGAGCUUAUAAGAGUGUUCCGAAGUAUGUACACUAGCGCAUGAAUUAUGGACCAGGCGACGAGGGAGACAUAUCUUCGAGUUAUGCAAAACCUGGUUCUCGAUGCAGGUUCACUUUUCGAUGACACGCUCGCACGUACUGUGUCUCGGCAUAUCUAUAAAAGUUGCCCCGACUUGCUCGGACUCGGCCGUUGGGAAAUAAAAUUACGGGUUUCUCUCUCUCUCUCUCUCUCUGCUUCGCUUAUAA